GUCAAGUAAUCAACCUACACCGUGCAGCUGAAUUCCUUCUGUCUUUCACUCUAUCUGCAUAUACACGUGUGUGUGGUCACACCAAUAUCUUAUGUGACAUUAAUACCUAGUUAUCUAUAUAUCUAUACAGAUAAUAUAUAUUCACACAUAAAUGUAGUUCUCUACCCAUUCAUAAAACUAUCCCUGUGACUAGUAAAUUUCCACUGCUGUGUUUCUAUGUUUGCUGUUUGUCUCCUCAGAUGAACCUACACUUCAAGAAAGCAAAGAUAGUUUUUAUGGCCCACUGUAUAUACAAAAUAGAUAUAUAUUUCUGUUUGUGUUUUUCUGUGUGUGUAUCACAUUCUACCUGUUGCUGCCUAUAUGAAUAAUUAGCUACCUAGAGAUUAAAUGGAAGGUGAAACUCCAGGUGAAGUGGUUGAGGGCAUGAAGGGGAGGCAGCCCCAGACUUUUACCCCUUUGUGCUCCUGACAUUCAGGAGGCCCUGAGGACCAACCUCUCAUCCACAGAGCCGGGGUCCUUCGCUAGUGGAUCCGUGAAACUCUCAUCUCAGGGGGAAUCGGCUUAUGUGCUCCUGUGUCCCAGGCUGCACAGAGACAGCACCCAGGGUUCAGUGACCCUGUACUGGGGACACUUUCCUUGCAGAUCCUGAGCUCUCAGGGUGCAGGAAAACUCUCCCAGAUGACUCAGAAGCAACGUUUAAAUCCAUAGAACACAGGAAAACUGAAAUCAUUCGGUGGGGAGACUGGAAGGAAGCCUGCUACAGCGGAGAAAGAGUGUUUUUUACAAAUUCUGUAAAAGUCACAUCAUAAGAUAUUAAGUAAUAAAAAAAAAUGCAGAGCCCAGGUGAGAGGCUGGCUCAGGUCUCUUUCUCUCUGUUUUGGUUCUCAGGAGCUGCUGAUACCCUCAGCCCAUCACAAAACGAGUCUGACUCUGAGACUGAUGUCCUCGCACCCCCAGGAUUACACAGUGGAGAAUCUCAUCCGCAUGGGCGUGGCUGGCUUGAUCCUGGUGGUCCUCGGGAUUUUGUUAUUUGAGGCUCGGCGCAGCUGGAGAAGCUUCCCAAGAUGCAGCCGGGAGAUGAACAACAGAGAGGACAAUGUACCUUUCGGAGUCGUGAAGCCUCGGGAACAGAUCUGAUGAUCCCAGGAGGUUCUGGAAGAAAAUCUAGGGCCGAUGCUAUCUGGACUGUCUGCGGGUCGUUUCUAGAGGAAGGAAUCAAUGUUUGAGUGCAGGGACAUUUUCUGGGGUGAUCCAUGGAGAACCAUUAAAAUGUGAUACCUUUCCUCUCCAUGAAUGUUGACUUUCCUUGGU
rnacentral:lncRNA from 1 species